rnacentral:lncRNA from 1 species
CAAGAAGUCACCUGAGUAUGAUUCAUUCCUUGUUCAAACCCGUCUCGGGAGAGAUGAAUUAACAUCAAAAUACAAACAACGCCAGGCCUAUCCACAACACUGUGUGGAGUGACAAGGUGGCCCACAAUGUGGGGCUCAGCAGGACCAGUUCUGAGGACCAUUCUCAAGAUGGGGAAGACGGUAGUGAGGCAACCUUGGCUUUUCACCAGUGGGAACCCUGCUAAGUGGUUUAACAAGUGCUAUGAUUUCAGAAUGGGUUUUCUUUUGAGUGCCUGGUAAAGCCUGGCCCCAGGAUGGUAGUCUGGACUGGACUGACAUGCUGGAAUGGACCCCUCAGGGGUGGCUGGACAAAGGUGAAGGCCUUUCCCAAGAAAGCGAGCUCUGCUGAGAACUGAGUUCACACCAGUGAGGGCAGCUGCCGGGAGAGGCUGCCAGUCCCCUGGUCCGUCUCCUCUGCAAGCUCUACUUACCCUGCCUCCUGCCAGAGGUCGGAGCAGCAUGGCUGCUUGCCAGAAGCUGGACCAGUUCUCAGAGUCCCAGCUGCCAAAACCGGAAGCCAAACGAGCCUCUAUGUCCACGGUCACUCAGUCUUGGGAUUUCUACUCCAGUCACAGGAAACACACCAAGAUGGUGGAACUGGCCUUGGACCUGAGACGAGUGGCUGAUGGCUGAUCCUCAUUGUCUGUUUGCCUACAUUUGGGAAUCACCUAGGAGACUGAAGCUUUUUGGAGAGGAUUAAGGGUGGGGGAAGACCCACCUGUGAACUGUGGUCCCGAGGAGAGCCAGACAAGCUCUGGAAUUUGUCUGCUUUCUCUGCUCCCUGAUCCGCUGAGAUAUGAACAAGCAGCCCUCUGUUCCUGAUGCCACAGCCGCACGUCUCGCACUUCCGUGCUUCCUUUAUGGAAUGGAUAACACCCUCGAAUCAUGAGCCAAAGAAAAGGCUGCUUCAGCUUCCAGAGCUGCUGAAUUCAUCCAUGAGGGUCCCAUGUAGGACAGAAGACGCCAGAAGCUUGCUGGGAGAGCACUGUUCCCUGACCUACAUGAAAACCUGUAGUGACUGAGCAUGAGUUAAAGCAGAAGGAGGCAAAAAUCCCAAGGUUUAUUCUCCAGAGCUGCAGAGACAGCCAGACUCCUCCAGUGGCUCUCUGGAAGAUCCCCUGGGAGACCAAAUGAGUUCCUCAAGAUGACAGCAUUCAGGAUCCACCACCCAGUGAUGGAGCUCAAAUAUGGACACAACCAGCCCUGAAUCUGAGAGUCAGCCAAGGGGCGACAGACAUCUGGCAUAUGCAUGUCCUAUACGAGGACAGGAAAGUACCUCAACCCUCAAGUUGCAAAAUUCAAGGAUGGAGAACAUAAAGUGGAAGACCACCAAUAGUGUGUUUUAAGAAAAUUGCCAAAAGUUAAAGUUUCCUCUGCAGAUGGAAAGAGAUACCCACUCUAGGACACACGCUCAGGAAAACAUGGAAACACCUCAGGCGGAAGAUUCUACGCUUUUCCAAGAGAAAAAGCAAGUCACACAAAACCUGAGGCAGUGGAAUCUCCCUUGGACUUCUCAGCUCCCCUGAAAGAAAAACAAUGCUGGCCAACACUCUAGCUCUGAAUGAAAAAUUUGUCUCCACACACUAGAAUUCUAUUCCCAGCUCAACUAUCCAUCAGCUAUUGCUGGGGAAAGAUGCCUUCUGACAUGUGAAGUCCUAAGAGUUAUAUCCUAAACUUUUCCUGGGCCAAGUCCUCACCCACUCUGUGUCCUCAGUGCACUCGAAACUUUGUAGCCUACUAGGCAAGUCAUGCAUUCAGCCUUGCCUUUCCAUAAAGAUGUGACCUCGAGGAAAACUGGAGGCCCUUCUAAUUGGGUCACUGCUGUAUUCUUGGGGCCUGUAACUGCAUAGCACAUAAGUGGUGUGCAAUGACUUUUUGCCUCUGUGUAUGUUUACCAUGGAGGCCAGAGGAGGGCCUUAGAUCCCCUAGUUACAGAAGCUUGUGAACCACCAUGUGGGUGCAGCAAGUGCUCUUAAGAGCUAAGUCAUCUUUCCAGCGCUUGCAGUGACUCUUGAAGAAUAAAAGCCACACAGUUCAAUCUGUUGGGCACCUGAUCUGGGUCAGCGAUAUUUUCCUGUGUUUCCCCCAAUGAACCUCUGCCAUCGUCGUCUGGAGGCUGAAGAGACACUUGGUGUAUGGCUCACCUGCUCUCAGGCCUAGAACUGCCACCUGCCACACAGGGGACAUCACUACUUUCUCAGUUGUUCCUUGCAGCCAAAAUCUACAUUCUGUCUUGGUAGCUUUGCCUCUUCUGGACAUUUUUUUUUUAAAUCACACACCAUGUGACCUUCAGCGACUGGCUCUAUUUAACUCUUCAUGGAAUUGCCAGGGUUCACACACACUGGGGUCAGGGUUAGGGUUAUAAUAACACUCUCUUACUUGUGGCUGAUUGGUAACCCACAGGGAGUGGGUGGAGGACUUUUUACUCACCCCUUAGAAACAGGUAGAAAUGGUGACGGGUGUGUCCUCUCUUGCUUUGAGUUUGGUUAAUUACAUCCAAAGAAGGGAUAGGUUAAAUUCAAACCUACACAGUAGAGCCCUCCAGCUGCAGGGGUAGCCGUGAAGAAUACACUCACGGGCUCACCCUUUUCCUAAGUGUUGGACCUGGUGUCCGUAGGCUACUCUCCAAACUGUUCCAGGAUGCUGGGACCAUUCUGUAUUUGUGUGGUCACUUUGAAAGCUAAAGCUUUGAACAUGAGUGUGGAGUUGUGGAGCUUUUUCCUCUGGGCAGAGUAUGGACAUAGCUGUCUUGAACCCAGAGCUACUGUGAUUACAUAUUAGAAACCCAGAAACCCUUGCAAGCUUGAACCUACUAACACUCUUUCAAGGUGGGAGGGUACUCAGGACCCGUACCAUAAAGGCACCAUCACUCCCUUCCCGGGAUACAGAUGCAGUUAACCAGUGCUCAGAGGGGAAGCUUUUAAGUUGCUUGUGAUCCUGCAAGCAACCUUAGCCUUGAUUUUGGUGGCUCGAAACCUCUGUAACACUAGUUCUAGGGGUCCGUCCUUAGUGCCAUAUUUGGGGUGAAUAGCAUUUGUUCAUGUCUGUUGGGGAAAGUUAGAAGAAGAGUUCCUUACAUUUGAAUGCUGAUUUCUCAUGGAAUUAUAUUUUAAUUAAAAAAAAAAACUCAAAUG